GGAGUAUGGUGUGCACGCAGAAGUAGGGGCGGGCAAGCGAUAAAGGGGAAGAAUGCCUAGACCCUGUUGACUCACAUCUGCCAUCUCAAGGAUGGCGGAGGCAGGAGACUGCAACAAAUUCGAGGAUAACCAAAGUUAGUUAUUUCCAGGCCAAUCUGAUUAUAAAGCGGGGUCUCCAAAACAACAACAACAAAAAUAAAGAGAAAUCAGAAGAAAACGGUACAGAGACGAUGACAAGUGACCUGCUAAGAUGUAGCGUUCCUGACCUUAGAUUUAGGUGUAAACGGUUUUGCCUGCAGCGAGAAAUUUCUCCCCCACACCACCACCACC
rnacentral:lncRNA from 1 species